rnacentral:rRNA from 1 species
AUUGAACGCUGGCGGCAGGCCUAACACAUGCAAGUCGAGCGAGCGGCGGACGGGUGAGUAAUGUCUGGGAAACUGACUGAUGGAGGGGGAUAACUACUGGAAACGGUAGCUAAUACCGCAUACCAUCAGAUGUGCCCAGAUGGGAUUAGCUAGUAGGUGGGGUAAUGGCUCACCUAGGCGACGAUCCCUAGCUGGUCUGAGAGGAGGACCAGCCAGACGGGAACUGAGACACGGUCCAGACGCCUACGGGAGGCAGCGGUGGGGAAGAUUGCACAAGGGGCGCAAGCCUGAUGCAGCCCUGCCGCGUGUGUGAAGAAGGGCGUCGGGUUGUAAAGCACUUUCAGCGGGGAGGCGUUACCCGCAGAAGAAGCACCGGCUAACUCCGUGCCAGCAGCCGCGGUAAUAC